CACCACAAACUUGCUGUCUGCAUGCUUCCUUAGAGGACACAGCGACUAAUUGAUGGUCAAAUGGCAUCCUUCAGUGAAGAUUGGGAUUGGGCAAAACUGGGAUAAACACUGGAACCUGUUUUAGUUAUCUAUUGCUGAGUCAUAGGAACCUCAACAAGCCAGUAAUGGCUUAAAACUCAUGAUUUUGUGUGUCUGAAAUAUUUCAGGGGCUUGUCUGGGGUGGUUCUUCUCUGCUCUGCCUGGCUAGGACUGUCACUUGAUGCUGCUCCUUGCUUUUCCCUCUCCACGUGACAUCCUCAUCCUUCAGGGCCUGUCAGUGGAACCUGGACUACUCACAGGGCACCUAUAUUUUAAGGGCCGUGGCUUCUCCUUUCUGGUCUGAUAAAAUAAUA
rnacentral:lncRNA from 1 species